CCCUUAGAUGUUCUGGGCCGCACGCGUGCUACACUGAGUAAAUCAAUGGGUAAGGGAACACGAAAGUGCAACCUAAUCUUCAAAUUUGCUCGUGAUGGGGAUCGACGGUUGCAAUUUUCCGUCGUGAACGAGGAAUACCUUGUAGGCGCGUGUCAUCAUCACGCGCCGAAUACGUCCCUGCCCUUUGUACACACCGCCCGUCGCUCCUACCGAUUGAGUGGUCCGGUGAGGCUUUGGGAUCUGAGCGGAAAGAGCGUUUCGCUGUUUCUGCUCGGAAAACUCAGUCGAACCUUAUCAUUUAGAGGAAGGAGAAGUCGUAACA
rnacentral:rRNA from 1 species